AUACACUGUGUUGUGUGUGGAUAAGAAAUGCAGAGUGGUACCACCAAUUACCUAAGUCACCAUUCCCCUAACAGACAAAAGGCUCAUGGGGACAGUUCCUGCAGUUUACAGCAAAUUGUAGCCCUACAAACUUCAGAUACUGCCAAGCUUGGGUGCACUGGGCCGGUUAUCCAGCCGUGUGGAAUCAACAUCUCCAGCUGAACUUGGGCCGGGAAUUAUAUAAGAAUCCUUAGCAGCAUGAGUGCCAGCCAGUCAUUGCUGUUCUUUGCAUUGCUGAGGAGGACAGUCCUGCCAACAUAAUAGUUUGUUCAAUAACAGGAGACAAACAGAAACACAGAGGUGCUAUACAUUCCGAUGGAAAAUACAACAAAAGAAGAAUUUUAAGAAAGGUGAUGGUUGGGCACACACAAGAAGACAUAGAUCACAUGUGUCCAGGCAU